AGCUGUAAGUUAGGGUCUUUCCCUUUGCAGGGCGGGUUGUUUAACAUAUGCCAGUGUGACACUGAGGACUCCCCUUUUCUGUUACCUCCACUGCUACCUGUAAUAUCAACAAAGUGGGAACAUAAAUAAAAACUUGGCAAAUCCAGGAUUUUGGAAAUUAGCAGGCCUUUGGUAACUUGGAGAAGGCAGUUUAAAGAGAAUAGUAGGGGGCAUACAACAGGUAUGAGCAGGUAUAAAAGAAAUGGAAGACACAGAACAAAUGGGUGACAUCUGAAAUUUAAGUGUCGAAGAGAGAGAGAAACAGAACAAGCAGCAGUAGAAAAUAGAGGUUAUGGAGCCUCUCUGGUAUCUUAAGAGCUGUCUAAAUAUUUGAGAAGUCAUAUCUGAACUGUUAAGCCCAGUACAAACAGGCACUAAUCCUAUUCAUGAGGGCUCCACCUUCAUGACCUCAUCACUUCUCAAAGGCUUCACCUUCUAAUUCAGUCACAAUGGAAUUAAGGAGUCAACGUUUUGGAGAGACGUAAGCCAUUCGGUCCACAAUGGAAAGCUAUCCGCCUGCCUGUGAACUGUUAAUGACAGAAUAAUCCGUGGACAUACUCCUGUGACUUCAGCUGUUAUAAAAUGCAAUUUGACACUGAAAAGAAACAUGCCGGUAUAGCCAAAGGGAGUGCCACAGGGCAGGGGCUGGAACCAGGGAAGAGUUGCACUAUGGACACUGAAAAUGCCGGAGGAUGCAGGCAUCCAUAGCUGCAUGUUGUGGAAGAAGGCCCAGAAGCUGGAAAAGAGAAGUGACUACAGAAAAAUAGGUUGAAUUACUGGCAUAACAUAGGAAUUGGAUUCACACUGUAAGUUUGUAAGCAACAUGAAAAUAAGGAGGAAUUAACCAUCACAUCUUAAAGGUGAUACUUUAUACUUGAUAUUCUGAAACAAGUAAUAUUUUUAGUGGUUUUUCAGUUUAUUAAAAUUAUCCAAAAUGAAGAUGAUCCAGUGAGCAGAGAUUGUACAUUUUUCAAUUAGCAAAAGGUAAAGUAGCCACUCUAGCACCCUAGUUUAAGGAUCUAGAAUUAAAUUUACACCAUGGUUAUUCAUGAGCAAGUUUCAGUAAGUUUUAAAAAGUUUGACAUAUAUGGGCCUGGCUCAGUGGCUCACGCCUAUAAUCCCAGCACUUUGGAAGGCCAAGGCCAGUGGAUCACCUGAGGUUGGGAGUUCAAGACCAGCCUGACCAACAUGGAGAAACCCCAUCUCUACUAAAAAAACAAAAUUAGUUGGGUGUGGUGAUACAUGCCUGUAAUCCCAGCUACUUGGGAGGCUGAAGAAGGAGAAUCACUUGAACCUAGGAGGUGGAGGUUGUGGUGAGCCAAGAUCAUGCCAUUGCACUGUAGCCUGGGCAACAAGAGUGAAACUCUAUCUCAAAAAAGAAAAACCUUGAUAUAUGAAUUCAUGCUUUAUUGGCUAUUAAUACAAUUUAUUUUUUUUUUAGAAUGGUAAAAAAAGGUGAGGAGAAAGUCUCAUAAAGUUUUACCUCUGAUGGAUUUUCAUGAUGUCAAGUAGAUUAGUUUUUAGCAAUGUGCCUUGAUCAUAAACUUUUUGCUGUAACUUCGGUCUGGAGGAAAAUAAGUCAAACCUGUUGUAUAGAAUUAAAAGUUCAGUGUUUAAUUUCAUACCAAAAGAACAUAGACGUUGGAAAAAAAUAACUCAAAUAUAACAUAUUAGUAAAUCACAGUAUUACAGUAGAUAUUCUUAAAAUAUAUUUUCCAGGACAAAGCAAGAGUUGGAAAAAGCCCAGAUCCUAAGGGGUUUCCUUGGUCCUCUUCCUGCUUGACCUGUAGUGUGGUCUGAUAAGGUCAUAAUCUUGAUUUCCUAAAACCACCUCAACACCUAUCUAUAAUUCAACCUAUUUUUCUGUAGCUGCCUGUGAAAAUAAAUUCUGUUUCUUAUAGCUCCCAUAGUUACCAAAAAAAAAAAAAUAGGAACGUCAUUUGAAAUAAUAUUCUAUUAUUUUCCUGCUAUUGCUUUGACCUCAUUUCUUCCCUGUUUUCUUUGGUGGCUCCUCCUGUGAUACUUGUUUAUUUAAACAGUUCUCAAGGGUUUUUUGUUUGUUUGCUUCUCACUUUCAGUCAUCUCCUCGAGUCAUUCUUUUUCCAUGAUUUAAAAUUCCAAUUUGUAUGGGAAAGCUCAAUGAUCUUUGUCCCCAAAGACCCCUCCCCAGAGCUGCAGAACUGUAGCAUUCACCUUCACGAUGGAAACAUGUGGACACUGUGUCCACGUGAACACUGCCCCUACCCUCAGGCACCUCCAUAUAUACCUCACAGCAAUAUAUCGCUUCCUCGUUAUCUCAUCAACAAAAAUGUCUGUUUUUAUUCAUGAGUUCUGCCUUUUGGGAUAGAUUCACAAUCUUCUCAGUCAUUUUAGAUGAAAAUCUCAGAGCCCUCUCGAACUCCAUCAUCUUUCUCACACAUUAUUGUCAUCUACUUGAUAAAUCAACUACUGCAGUCCCUUUCUUUCUGAUGCCACAGUCCUACCUUGGGUUGGCCUUUAUUAUCUCCUUCCCAGGGUCCGGAUCCCAUCUUCCCACACUUGCCUCCCACAUGAUGAUUUCUUCCUUUCCUAAGUCAUUCUGCCCAUGGCGAGGAUAGUCAUCUUCCUGAAUCACAGGUACAAUCAUGACAUGCUAGUGCCCAUCCCUGCCACUCUACAGAAAUUGCUCUAGACAAGACUUCCAAUGACAUUCAAAGCACAUCUUUCUCUUUUAUUUGGCAUUGCUGUGACAUGUGACACUGUUAGCAUCUCCCUUCUUUAGAAGUUCUCCUUUUAAGUCCUCAUUCACUCUACCCUCCAUUGCGAUUUUCUCCUAUUUCUCUGCUCUCCUUUUCAGUCUCCUCUAUGGCUAUUUCUUUCUCUGAUUAAACUUUAAUGUUAUUACAUCAGAGGGGCACCACCCUUAGCAUCCUGAUCUUCUCCUGCUGCAGUUCUUAAUACCCCUGGGAGAGCCACCCACACCCAUGAUUAUAGCUACACUGAAAGAUUGCUGACUCCCACAUCUCUACCCAUUUGCCCUCCUGACUCCAAGACCUGUUCAAUUGCUUAAGGAAUUUCUCCACAUGGAUGGUCACAGGCAUGUCAAAGUCGGCCAACCUCAGCUCAUCCGUUCUUCCUUCCAAACCUGUUUUUCUUGUCUUUCCUGUCAAAUGGAAUGAGGAUAUCACCAUCCACCCAGUUAGAUUCCUAUGUCAGAAACUGCGAGGUAAUCCACAAUCACUUUUACCCCCUCUUGCCCCCAAGUCACUGUUGCCAGUCCAUGAACUUCUACAAAAUUAGUAUCUUUAAAAUCUUCUCCCAUGUUCCAUUUGUAAUUUUACUUCUUUUGUGCAGGCUUUAUUUUUUUCUCACCUAGAUUUUAUAAUAAAUCUGACCUGGUAAACUGUCUGUAAUCUUUUCUGUUUGUCCUUCAAAUUAUGUUCAGGAUAAUUUUUCUAAAAUGCAAGUUUCAUCAAUUCAAUCCAUUGUUCAUUUUAUUUUACUUUUUUUUGAGAUGGAAUCUUGCUCUGUCACCCAGGUUGGAGUGCAGUGGUGCAAUCUUGGCUCACUGCAACCUCUGCCUCCUGGAUUUAAGCGAUUCUGCCUCAGCCUUCGAUAUAUAUAUAUAUAUAUAUA